GACUCUCGGCACCAAAUAUCUCGACUCUGGCAUCGAUGAAGAACGUAGUGAAAUGCGAUACUUGGUGUGUAUUGCAGAAUCCCAUGAACCAUCGAGUCUUUAAAUGCAAGUUGUGCCCGAAGCAAUUAGGUCGAGGGCAUGCCUGCCUAGGUAUUG
rnacentral:rRNA from 1 species